AUGAACCUUUGUCCUGAACUGGGGAUUCUACUCUUCCUAAUGCUUGGAGAAAGCAAUGGAGACUCGGUGACUCAGACAAAAGGUCCAGUGACAUUGUCUGAAGGGACUUCUCUGACUGUGAACUGUUCCUAUGAAACCAAACAGUACCCAACCCUGUUCUGGUAUGUGCAGUAUCCCGGAGAAGGUCCACAGCUCCUCUUUAAAGUCCCAAAGGCCAACGAGAAGGGAAGCAACAGAGGUUUUGAAGCUACGUAUGAUAAAGGGACCACCUCCUUCCACUUGCAGAAAGCCUCAGUGCAGGAGUCAGACUCGGCUGUGUACUACUGUGUUCUGGGUGA